rnacentral:snoRNA from 1 species
GUUGAGGUCUGUCCCGAUGGGGCUUUCUCUGUAUACCCACAUCGUGGGAAACGCCUCAUAGAGUAACUCUGUGGUUUGCUUUACUCGCAGAGCUGCUGUUGGUUGGAUCUGGAGGAAGAACUACAAGACAACU